UGGUCAGGUACAUCCGUAUAUGACAAACUUUUAAUCAAAAUGCUAUUCCUCCGGUACAUGACAAAGGACGAGUCUCAGCGGGGUCGUUCUCGUCGGUGCUUGAUUACCCGUCGUGAUUCAAUUUUAUCUUUGGGUUGGACAAUAUUUUACUCAUUCCUCUUCUCUUUGGUUACUAACUGGCUUAUUGCUGAACCAUUGCGUGCUACAUGUUCCCUCGAUAUAGCUUGCCCUUGAGUUUUUUUUUUUUUGGAAACAAAGGGAAAGAUUUGUCAUUUCCAUUGAUUAAGAAGGUUUUAGGAGUUUAGGCCAAAGGCCGAAU
rnacentral:lncRNA from 1 species